rnacentral:misc_RNA from 1 species
GGCGCUCUGAGGCGCCAAGCGAGGGGAGGCAACCCUCUAGCACCUCGCCUGGAUGUGCCUGGCGUGGGUUGCGAGAGGUGACUGCCAUAGGGAAAAAGACGCAGGGUGCAGGGCGAUGGAGGUGAUGCCUUUGUUAUGCAACAAUUAUGUAACAAUCACUUUUUUUUAUUUGUUGUUUGAACAGCAAAAAGCAAAAAAUCCUAAGUAGAGGCUCUCAUUUCACGCCACAGCUGUUGGAAAAAGGACCUGGUAUGUCUCUCAUGUCUUCUUCUUCUUUCCGCUCUCUCCUCUCUUCUAUUCUAUUCUUCUCUCUUCUCUCUUUCUCUCUUCUUCUAUUCUUUCUUCU